UACGAAGGGGGCUAGCGUUGUUCGGAAUUACUGGGCGUAAAGCGCGCGCAGGCGGCCUUUCAAGUCAGGGGUGAAAGCCCGGAGCUCAACUCCGGAACUGCCUUUGAAACUGUCAGGCUCGAGUACGGGAGAGGUGAGUGGAAUUCCCAGUGUAGAGGUGAAAUUCGUAGAUAUUGGGAAGAACACCGGUGGCGAAGGCGGCUCACUGGCCCGUUUCUGACGCUCAGGCGCGACAGCGUGGGGAUCAAACAGG
rnacentral:rRNA from 1 species